rnacentral:rRNA from 1 species
AAAUUGAAGAGUUUGAUCAUGGCUCAGAUUGAACGCUGGCGGCAGGCCUAACACAUGCAAGUCGAACGGUAGCACAGAGAGCUUGCUCUCGGGUGACGAGUGGCGGACGGGUGAGUAAUGUCUGGGAAACUGCCUGAUGGAGGGGGAUAACUACUGGAAACGGUGGCUAAUACCGCAUAACGUCGCAAGACCAAAGAGGGGGACCUUCGGGCCUCUUGCCAUCAGAUGUGCCCAGAUGGGAUUAGCUUGUUGGUGAGGUAACGGCUCACCAAGGCGACGAUCCCUAGCUGGUCUGAGAGGAUGACCAGCCACACUGGAACUGAGACACGGUCCAGACUCCUACGGGAGGCAGCAGUGGGGAAUAUUGCACAAU